GGCUAAGUUCUUGUUUUCUUGCAGCUUAGACAGGGUAAAUUCACUCUGUUGUGAGAGCUGAGUAGUUAAUUCGCUAACUGGUUGAAUCUGGUUAUUCUAGCCCCUGUUCAGUUGGCUAUAAAUACAGGCCUCUUCAGAGCAGCUAAGGCAAACGAGUGCAUACUUGGAGUUUGGUGAGGGGGGGAGUUCGGUGAAGUGGAGGGAGGAGAUGCUCAUUUCCUUUUUUUUAUCUUUCUCACACUGUUGGAAUUGGUUCUUGCUCUACUACAGGGAAAGGAGCUAGCUGUUUGGGAACUGAACGACAUUGACACACACAGAGGAACACGUACAGACAUAUGCCCCGAGAGUGACAGAGGCCUAAGGAGAGACAAACACCCAGAAAGCAAGGAUGUCACCAACCAGGCCAAUUAUUGUUCCAUUUCAGACUGCAAAUUUAGAGAAUGUUUGGGAUGAAUGGAAAUAAGAAACACGGGGAAUUUGGAUGGUUUUUAUUCCAUUUAACCGAUAACUAAUUCUGUGAUUGGUUAUAAUCAGGAAUGAUGAGAAGUGGAGUUGACAGAUUUCCAACCUGCGUGAGGAGAACCCACUGGAUUUCAAACCCAUCACCUUAACCACUCGGCCACAACUACUCGGGAAGGAUGAUAGAAUGGAUACGGAGUGUUACAGAGAAAAACAGUAUUCGGUCCAUCCAGUCUGUGCCCUUCCCCCACCCUUUCCUGGUCACCUGUAAUUUACUGUCUCUGUCUCUCCUCAUUCUCCCAACCAGAAUGAAACACUGCACAGCUCAGCUGCCCCUUGCCCACAUGAAGAACUUUCUGGAACAACCUAGCAGAGCAAACCACCCAAAACUUUAGCAGUGGUGGGAUUCAAACCCACAGCUCCAAAGAGACAAGAUCCUAACUCCAGUACCACACACUGCUCAACCACAUGACCACAUUCACAUCUGGAACAUUCAAAAUGACUAAUAAAGUCAUGAAAGAUGUUUUGUUGUUGUUUGUUAUGUUAUUUGGUAGAAUUAGAGUGAAGUGUGGGAUUAAGCCAGAGCCUAAGUCACCCACUUAAAGGACUGGAAGAGGGAGAAUAUUGUCACGUAUGUAGUGUUGUGAUGUGGUAGAUUUUGUUAAAAAAAGCUAACAUUUCUUUUAAAUGGGCGCAAAGAACCUUAAAAAUAGCUGCCAAAGGUCAGCUGACCUUUUCCAACUGCAAUAUUUGCCAAGCUUCUAGGAGGCUUCAAGUAAAUUGGAAAUGGACCUACCCAGAUAUGUGACGACAUCUGAAAUCCAAGGCGCAUUUUCACAAGGGUAAACUCAUUGACAGUGAUUUCCCUGGAAGUGUGAAUAGCUCUUUCCCAUCUCACCAAACCUCUCAGAGUGGGAGUCAUUCAAGUUCAUAAACAGAUUAACAGUUUUCUUUAUUAACACUGUCAUUUUUUUUCUUUAAGUCUUUUGGUGACAUUGUUACUAAAUUUGGAAUCCACUGUCCCUCUUUGCUCUUCCUUGGCAAUGUAAACCAAUUUAGAUUUGUUUCCAGUCUUGUCAUUUCCAAAGGGUCCCGUCCAUAUUCAAUAAAAUGUUUGUUGAUGA